GUGGCUCUUCUGGGUUCAAGAGAGAAAGGUAAAGGAAUAAAGGCAAAGUUUGAGUUUGCCUGAUGUGCACCACAAGGGCCAUGGAGAAUUUGAAGCACAGGGGUGGCAUGGUAGUGACAUGGGAGUGAGCUGGGUGGAGAUUGUGGAGUUCUGACUCAGAGCAUCCAUAAGAUAAAGACAGGUCGGGCUGAGUGUUGCCUGCACAAAUGCGGGAAACAGCUGGUUCAUAUUUUUUCAAUAAUUCCUGCAACACCCACAUGAAGACUAAGUUGAACAUCUGGUACAUAUGUGAGUGCAUGCUUAGAUACAGCCCAUAGACGUCCUUUGGUUGGUGGUUCAGACUCUGAGAGCCCCAAGGCUCCAGAUUAUGGUCCACCGUUCAGGGAACUGAUGUCAGAAACUCAAGGCAGAAGUUGAGGCCAUGAAGAAACACAGCUUUUCUAGG
rnacentral:lncRNA from 1 species